rnacentral:lncRNA from 1 species
AUGCCAGUUAUUUUGGUGGCUGUCAUUUUGGGAGAGGUAGAGGGGUUUUUGCCAUUUAGUGGUUCAUGUACUCCUGGGAAGAUGAAUGACGUUGAUUCUGAUGCUAAUAGAGUACGAUUUUCUACUCCAGCAUCUUGUGACAUACCACCACUUGAAAUUAGUUUAUCAGAACCUACUAUAACACUAUCUAAUGAACAAGUAAAACAACUGAGCUCUGAUAUCAGUCAGUCGAUUAAAUCCAGCUUGUUUCCUAACAAUCAGCUACCUACCUCCAACUUGUGUUAUGACUGUCAGAGGUGCUCACAUGUGAAUCCGUGCGGCACCACCAUCAUUGAUGCUUCAAAGAUGAAUCUUGUGCUGAAAAGUGGUAAAGAGCCACCAUACUUUCGUGGUGACAGUUCAGAUAAGUGUUCAAUCUUUGAAUGGGAAGAUUUGAUGAGGACUUACCUUGAGAAAGGCAAUUAUUCUAAACAAGAACGCAUUGAUGAGAUAAUAAACAAAUUGAUGGGCCGGGCAAGGGAUGUUAUUCAGAUAUGGUUGCGCAACAGUGUCUCAGUCGUUAGGACUGGUGAUGUAGAUAUGGUAUUUCGUAUCCUCAAACAACACUUCGGGAGUGUUAUAUCUACAGGUCUUCCCCUGGCAGACUUCUACGCUACCAAGCCAUAUCAAAAUGAAGGCCCUUUUGAUUAUUGGAUUAGAUUAAACAAAGCUGCUGACCUAGCUGAACAGCAUCUUAAAAGUGAGGGCAGAACACUGCAAAAUCGGGACAUGGAGAUUGCCGUUAUGUUCAUACGUAAUUGUCCUGAUAAAGAUCUCUCAAUGAUGUUUUUAAGCAAACCACAGCGUGAGUGGACCGCUGCAGAGGUACAGGAUCGUUUGGAUGAAUUUGUAAGAGACCGCAAAGUAUAUGAGUGUCAGUUCUCACAACAAACAGCUAGUGCUGUCAGUGAUGAUAUGUGUGGUACACCACCUUGUAAAACUCAAGUUGUUAGGGCUCCUGGGAGUGCAGUUGAGCCUGAUCAUGCAACAUGUGAAACUAACACAAUGGAUAGGAUACUGAAUAUGCUGGAGAAAGCACUGACAUGUAACACACAGUCCUCCAGAGCAGUUGUGCAUCGCAGACCGAAUGUUAAGAGACCACAAGCGUGUAAAGUCUGUCAGAGUAAUGACCACAAUACAGUUGCUCACUGUAGAUUGCACAAAUUGUGUUUCACUUGCUACCUUCCUGGACAUACAUAUGACGUGUGUGAGAUGACUACCUCACAGGUUAGGCCAAACAGCUCGACCGCUGCUGUUGACGGUCAUAGUCAAAGGCCCUCUCAGGGAAACUAUUGA